rnacentral:rRNA from 1 species
GAUGAACGCUAGCGGCAGGCUUAACACAUGCAAGUCGAACGGCAGCACGGGAGCAAUCCUGGUGGCGAGUGGCGAACGGGUGAGUAAUAUAUCGGAACGUGCCCAGUCGUGGGGGAUAACGUAGCGAAAGCUACGCUAAUACCGCAUACGAUCUAUGGAUGAAAGCGGGGGAUCGCAAGACCUCGCGCGAUUGGAGCGGCCGAUAUCAGAUUAGGUAGUUGGUGAGGUAAAGGCUCACCAAGCCGACGAUCUGUAGCUGGUCUGAGAGGACGACCAGCCACACUGGGACUGAGACACGGCCCAGACUCCUACGGGAGGCAGCAGUGGGGAAUUUUGGACAAUGGGCGCAAGCCUGAUCCAGCAAUGCCGCGUGCAGGAUGAAGGCCUCGGGUUGUAAC